rnacentral:sRNA from 18 species
UCAUGAACAACGCAAAAAAACAACAUUCUUUCAAAAGCGUUCCUACGAGGACCCCACUCAUCUUCUUGAGAUGGGCCUAUGAAGUACGGAAAUCGUCAUAGAGAAUGGAGAGGGAUUGCUUUUCUGCAUAGGGCCGAUCUUGGGUGCAGUGCCUGACUUGAUCUCGUCUUCGACGGGCUCGGUGGAAGGGACUGCAAUGAUUGGCUCUACAG